UCCGGUUUGUCACCGGCAGUCUCAUUAGAGUGCCCUUUCGUAGCAACUAAUGACAAGGGUUGCGCUCGUUGCGGGACUUAACCCAACAUCUCACGACACGAGCUGACGACAGCCAUGCAGCACCUGUGUUGCAGUUCUCUUUCGAGCACUUUCACCUCUCAGCAAAAUUCUGCACAUGUCAAGGGUAGGUAAGGUUUUUCGCGUUGCAUCGAAUUAAUCCACAUCAUCCACCGCUUGUGCGGGUCCCCGUCAAUUCCUUUGAGUUUUAACCUUGCGGCCGUACUCCCCAGGCGGUCAACUUCACGCGUCAGCUACGUUACUGAGAAGGAACCUUCCCAACAACCAGUUGACAUCGUUUAGGGCGUGGACUAC
rnacentral:misc_RNA from 1 species